GACGAACGCUGGCGGCGUGCUUAACACAUGCAAGUCGAGCGGUAAGGCCCUUUCGGGGGUACACGAGCGGCGAACGGGUGAGUAACACGUGGGUGACCUGCCCUCAGCUCUGGGAUAAGCCUGGGAAACCGGGUCUAAUACUGGAUAUGACUCCAUGACGCAUGUUGUGGGGUGGAAAGCCUUGUGCGGCUGAGGAUGGGGCCCCGCGGCCUAUCAGCUUGUUGGUGAGGUAACGGCUCACCAAGGCUUCGACGGGUAGCUGGUCUGAGAGGACGAUCAGCCACACUGGCACUGCGACACGGGCCAGACUCCUACGGGAGGCAGCAGUGGGGAAUCUUGCGCAAUGGGCGAAAGCCUGACGCAGCGACGCCGCGUGAGGGAUGACGGCCUGGUU
rnacentral:rRNA from 1 species